UGGGGAAUAUUGCACAAUGGGUGAAACCCUGAUGCAGCAACGCCGCGUGAGUGAUGACUGCCUUCGGGUUGUACAGCUCUGUCUUCAGGGACGAUAAUGACGGUACCUGAUGAGGAAGCCACGGCUAACUACGUGCCAGCAGCCGCGGUAAUACGUAGGUGGCGAGCGUUGUCCGGAUUUACUGGGCGUAAAGGGAGCGUAGGCGGAUUUUUAAGUGAGAUGUGAAAUACUCGGGCUUAACCUGAGUGCUGCAUUUCAAACUGGAAGUCUAGAGUGCAGGAGAGGAGAAGGGAAUUCCUAGUGUAGCGGUGAAAUGCGUAGAGAUUAGGAAGAACACCAGUGGCGAAGGCGCUUCUCUGGACUGUAACUGACGCUGAGGCUCGAAAGCGUGGGGAGCAAACAGG
rnacentral:rRNA from 1 species